UACGUUUAUUUUAAAUAAAUGCAUGCUAUAGUUCAUGGUUGAACAAUUAAUAUUGCGGAAUAUUUUAACGUCAUUUUAAUUUGACGAUUUUUAUUUUCUCUUGGAGAGCUACCGAAAAUGGGAUUUUCGGUGAAUAUAAAUAUGUAUUUAUGAGAGAGUAUGUAUAUAAAUGCUAGCUAGCCAUAUGUGUCUGUCCACCUUAAUGGCGUAGCAUAUAGCCGCAUUAUGGUGUGACGUGAGCGUUGGACGUAAGCGUAGUAGCCCUAUAUGAGUUGUUUAAUUCAUAUAGGGGGGUAUGGACACAUAUUUAUACACCCGUCUGUCCACCUUGAUAGCGUAGUGUAGCACCGCAUUAAGGCGUGACGUGAGCGUUGGACGCGAGCGUAGUAGCCCUAUAUAGACCCAUGAAUUUAUAUAGGGAGUAUGGACGAGUAGUAAAUACAUACAUAUAUUAUAGAAUCUGAGAGGCUCGAU
rnacentral:lncRNA from 1 species